AGGCAUCUGAUCAAAAUCUGCUUUGAGCUUAAAAAAUUAUAUUUGUAAAUAUAUUUUUCUCUCAUGCAAGGGAGAAGAGCAGCUGAAUACUCCGGCAGCUGUUCAAGGGGCCCCACUGCUAUAAAUAGCAGUAUUUCAGGGUUGUAAAAAGUAUUUCAAGGUUGUAAAAGGAAAUUAGAGCCAGAGAGCAAAAGGUCACACUGACCAGAAUACAAUCAAGCUGUAAAAACACAAUUAAGAACUGGUAAAUAGUGAAAUUUAUUGUUUAACAGAAGACCGAGCCAUAAGGUUAAAGGUUAAAUGGAAGAGGUUGCUCUUAGAAACAGCUGCUGGUUAGGGAAAAGGCCUCUCUCCAAACUGUUUUGAAGCUUCAGAGAAUUUACUAAGUUCCUUCUAAUUUGAAAAGGCCUUUCCUUCUAAAAAUCUAUCUAUGUUAUGUAUGAAAUAUAUUGGCUUAAAUGUAAUUAUGCAAAGGAUUUAGAAAGUAAGAAAUGUUAGAUUCUUAUGUUAGAUUCCUAUUAUGGUGGGUGAGAAGGUGAACUCAAGAUCUCUUUAAGAUAAAAAAAUUAGAAACCAUGCACCAUCUGCUUUAGCCAUCUGGUUUGCGGUGAAUAGGGCAACAGGGGCCAAAGGUUAUCUGGUAAGUGAGGUGCCUGGUCGAGGUAAAUGUAAGAUAUAUGGCUACUUGUCUGCCAUUUAUGGAUACAAGGAAAUAUAGCUGUUUGUCUCCCAUAAAAGGGAAUAGGAAAUGGGUGUAUCUUUUAUGAUUGGUUCUAGCAAACAACCAAUAGGAAUUUCAACCAGGCUGAUUGGACAGAGGCAGCCAAAGGAGGAGCAAGGGGGCUGGGCUGAGGAAAUAUAAGUGCUGGCCAUCAGGGCUGGAGUAGGCAGAGCUUUGGUAUCCAUAUACCACUGUGUCUCUCAUUUAUUUGUCUGACAAAUAAAUUAUUAUUUUAAUUUCUCUAUUGCUGCGUUGAAUAUUUCAUUCCAGCUAAGCGUUAACCACAAGCAGGGUGCUACAUUUUAUGGUGCCUCUGUGACUGGAUAAGUGGUCUGCUGGAACGCAGCCCUUCGCCCUAGCGGGCAGGGUACAAGAGGGAGGACCACUGACCGCUUACCCAGCGCGCACUGGAACAUUUUUCCAGGGGAACGCAGAAGUCUCGUCUGUCUGAUACCCUGCUCACUGGCGGCGACGGACCGGGGGUAACCAGAGAAAUAAACAGGGAACCAGCUAAGGGUAAGUGCACAAAGGGGUUGUGGCCCUCCAAAUCAUUGGGAGGAAGAGAAGUCUUGAUCAAACCACCGCGACUCAGUAAGGGGGAACUGAGUACGCUAGGUGGUUGGGUACAUCAGAUGGUGGUCUGGUGGAGGGAAAAGGGAAAGAUUGGGAGGUAGAGUGUGGUGAAGUAUCCAGCGCAUUGUAUGUGUGAGAAAGUACAAUUUGUAGCUGACCUGAGUGUGGAGUGGGUAGUACUUCGGUUCCUAGUAAGGCGACUUCACUAGGCAAGGAUCCCCACGAAGCGUGUGUGUGAGUGACUGAGUGGAUACUUCACAGGGCCAUACAAUGGGAGUUGGAGGUUCAAAGGGGGAAAUACACCUCUUGAAUGUAUGUUAAAUAAUUUUAAGAAAGCCUUCUCAGGAGCAUAUGGAGUCAAAAUGACGCCAGAGCGCUUGAGAACGUUAUGUGAAUUAGACUGGCCAAAACAAAAUACUGGAUGGCCACCUCAGGGAAGUUUUGAUAUAAAUUUAGCAAGCAAACUUUGGUCUAACAUCACCAAAGAAACUGGAGGGUGCCCAGAACAAUUUUCAUAUAUAGAUUCUUGGCUGAGCACAUUAAAUAAUAAUCCUCCAUGGAUAAGGGAAUGCAAAGUCCAACAAUGCAAAUUAUUGGCUGUAAAAGCCGAAGCUAGGAAAGGAAUCUUGCCAAAUAAACUCAAACCCAUUUUUGAGGGACCAGAGGAAGAGGUGCUUCCACCUCCACCCUAUGCUCCACAUCGAGGGAGCCUAAUCCAAACACUCCACCAGUUGUAACCCCAAGGCAAGAAAGUGGAAGGAAUAAUGGGGCUGGAGUCACAGAGCUUGAUUCCUUGAUAGAUUAUGAUAAAUAUCUUCAGGAGGCAUUGGAGUCCUAUAAUAAAGCCCAAGCAGAAGUGGUUAUUCCACCUGUGAGUCCCAGUAGAACUCCAUCUACAGUCUCCUUUAGUGGAACAACUGAUUGCCCACCCCAAACCCCUGUACAUCCAAGUCCUAGAGAACUAUUACAGGAGACUUUGAUCGGUCAGUAAGCAAUACAGCCAGGCGUAUAAAGCUGUUAAAAGAACGCCUUGGGACAAAUACUAUCCCCUAUGAUUUGAGGCCCAAAAACAAAAGACAAGAGAAAGGUCACCUAGUAGACCCUCUCAGAAGAGUAUUUGAUGCACUUGAGGAGCCUGUGCUGUUAACGGGCAACUCGGACCACGGCCACCUCGAACUCUCGACCCUCCAGUACAUUCCAUUCACAACUACGGAUCUGAUGAAUUGGAAAACACACACCUGCUCUUUCGCAGAAAAACCUCAGGCUAUGAUGGACUUGAGUGACUUCAAUAGUAAAUACUCAUAGUCCUACUUGGACAGAUUGCCGCCAGCUCCUGAAUACUCUGUUCACCACUGAGGAAAGAAGAGACAUAAUUGAAAAGGCACAGAUAUAUUUGCGUGAGCAGGCCAGAGUGGGAAAUAUUCUUAAUGUUGACCGUCAUCUCCAGGACAAUUUCCCUUGGAGGAUCCUAAUUGGGAUCCAAACAAUGCAAUCACCUGGCCAGGCUUACCACCUACCGCCAGACGCUUGUGCAAGGUAUCCGCAGGGCAUGCCAGAAGCCCACUAAUAUGACUAAAGUCUCAGAAGCAGAACAGAAACCGAAUGAGAGUCCAGGAGACUUUUAGAGAGGCUGCAGGAAGCCUAUCGUAUAUGGACUCCUUUUGACCCUGAAGCCCCUGCAAACAGCAGAAUGAUUACUGCUACUUUGUGGCUCAGUGCGCUUCUGACAUUCGUAAGAAAAUUCAGAAGUCAGAAGGCUGGGAAGGGAUGCUGAUGAGCCAAAUUAUGGCCAUUGCACGCCGAGUUUAUCGGAAUAGGGAUGAGGCUGAGAAACAAGAGAAGAAGAAGUGGCAGAAGGAAAAGAUGGUGAUGCUAGCCACAGCAGUGAAGCAAGACUACCGCCCUUUAAAUGGAGGGAGAGGGCGGGGAAGGAAUCCACCACUGGGAAGGAAUCAAUGUGCGAAUUGCAAGAAGGAGGGUCAUUGGAAGCGGGAGUGUCCUGAACCCCUGAGGUUGGAAGAAGUACGCCCAGGCCCAGGCCCAGGCUCCGGCCCAAGAAACCAGGGACGGGGACGGGAAUGAUCCGAGAUGGAAGAUAUCAGAGACCUGGACAAGGACGGAGUAGAGACAAUUUCAUUGGACUGGCAGAGGAGGAUUUUACCCAAGACUAGGAACGACCGGACUCCAUAAAGUUAGGCUUCCAGGAGCCCACGGUCAAAAUUCAAUUAGGGAGCCAUUUAAUAGACUUUAUGAUAGAUACUGGCGCUGAAUACUCAGUACUCCCAGAACUUUUGCAGAAAAAGGCAUCCAAAAGUGUAGUCAUUAAAAGUGCCACUGGUCAGUCAGCUAAGAGGUCUUUCCUCCAACCUUUAGAAUGCCAGAUUGGGGGACAUCAUUUAACCCAUCAGUUUUUGUAUAUACCUGAGUGUCCAAUGCCUCUCUUAGGUAGAGAUAUGCUGUCCAAAUUGCAGGCCCAAAUCACCUUCACUCCUCGAGGUCCAGAAAUGAAACUGCCAUCAAAGGCAGCAGGAAUAAUUUCCCUCUCAGUACCUAAGGAACAAUCAUGGCGCCUAAUGUCAGCCCUGCAAGUCCAACCCACAUUGGAUACAGAAUUAAACAAGCUCCUCCGAACCCUACAAGUGCCACCAGGAGUAUGGGCUGAAAAUAGCCCACCAGGAAUGGCUAAGAAUAUAGCUCCAAUUGUAGUAACCCUAAAACCUAUGGCUACCCCUGUAUCUGUAAAGCAAUAUCCUUUACCCCGGCGAGCAGCAGAGGGCAUCCAGAAACAUUUGGACCGCCUAUUAAAAUAUGGUCUGCUUAAGCCCUGCCAAUCAGAAUGGAACACACCCCUUUGCCUGUUCGGAAGCCUGGGACAGAUGAAUACAGGCCAGUACAGGACUUGAGGCUCGUGAACCAGGCUAUCGAGACCUUGCACCCACAUGGACCAAACCCAUAUACCUUGCUGAGUUUGAUCCCACCAGAAGCAACAAUUUUUACUGUAUUGGACUUGAAAGAUGCAUUCUUCUGUUGCCGGCUGGCACUACAGAGCCAACCUAUAUUUGCCUUCCAGUGGGAAGACCCUUUGACAGGAACAAAAGGCCAGCUAACCUGGACAAGAUUGCCCCAGGGAUUCAAAAAUUCCCAACUUUAUUUGGCACUGCCUUGGCGAAGGAUCUAACAAGUUACCCCUCAAUACCUGGAAAAAGGUGGUUCUGCAAUAUGUAGAUGACCUUAUACUAGCGGCAAAGGAUUUUGAUACCUGUAAAGAAGGGACAGAGGAACUGCUCCACUUGCUCUGGGAAGCUGGCUACCGAGCUUCCUAGAAAAGGCACAGUUAUGUUUAGAAAAGGUCAAAUAUUUGGGCUUUGACAUCUCACACCAACAACGAGCAUUGAGACCAGAGAGGAAAGAAGCUAUUUGCCUUAUCAAGGAACCUACCACAAGGAAACAACUCAGAGGAUUCCUGGGAACAGCAGGGUUUUGUAGACUAUGGAUACCUGAUUUCAGCAGUCUGGCCAAGCCCUUACAUGAAAGCACUCGAGGUGCAGAAAAGGACCCAUUCGUAUGGGGACCUGAGCAGCAACAAGCCUUUUAGUUAUCAAACAACGACUUAUGGAGGCCCCAGCCCUUGGACUGCCUAAUCUGGAAAACCCUUUCAGCUGUAUGUACAUGAACAGAAUGGGAUUGCAGCAGCAGUCCUGACCCAGAGAUUAGGAAGUUGGAACCGUCCAGUAGCUUAUUUGUCAAAACAAUUGGACUCAGUAGCAAAAGGAUGGCCUCCAUGCCUAAGGGCAGUAGCGGCCACUGCAAGCCUUGUCAAAGAAGCUGAUAAAUUUACCUUUGGCCAGACGAUGUAUGUGAAUGUACCUCAUGCUGUUCUGACACUCAUGGAAUAUAAGGGUAGUUAUUGGCUAACGAAUCCAAGGAUGGCUAGAUACCAAGGCCUAUUGUGUGAAAAUCCCAGGAUUCAUCUACGAGUAGUGAAUAUGCUCAAUCCAGCAACUUUGCUGCCCUACCAGAGGUAGAUGAUGAAGAAUCACAUGACUGUCUCCAAAUAAUGGAUGAAGUGUAUUCCAGUAGACCCGAUCUGAAAGAUGAACCAUUGAAAAAUCCAGAUGUUGUAUAUUAUACUGAUGGUAGCAGUUACCUGCAUGAAGGUGCCAGACGAGCAGGAUAUGCUGUGGUCACCAAUGAGGAAGUUGUGGAAGCUGAAGCUUUGCCUGCUGGCACCUCAGCACAAAAGGCUGAACUUAUAGGUUUAACUAGAGCUCUGCAAUUGGCAGCCGGAUGUAAGGCAAACAUCUAUACUGAUUCUAAAUAUGCCUUCUUAACCCUGCAUGCACAUGGAGCUCUAUGGAAAGAAAGAGGUCUAAUCGGAGCCCAUGGGAAGGCCUUGAAAUAUGGACCUGAAGUAGAAAUCCUGUUGGAAGCAGUAUGGGCUCCAGAACAGAUUGCUGUAAUGCACUGCAAAGGUCAUGGACGUGGAAGGGAUCCAAUAACCAGAGGAAAUCAUGCUGCUGACAAAGCAGCCCGAGAGGCAGCCCAGAAGCCUGUGGGAGGAUUUAUAGCAGCCCUCAUACCAGAGGUAGUUCCAGAAGAAAUUAAACCUCACUAUACCCCAGAAGAGAGGAAGUGGGCUGAACAGGAAGGAGCGGUUGUGAAGGACGGUUGGAUGAUCCUGCCGGACAAUAGGAUUUAUGUACCUCAUCACCUAGCAGGCACAAUUGUAAGAAGUUAUCAUGAAUCUACUCACCUUGGCGGUACUGCAACCAGAGAGAGUCUCAGUCGGAAGUUGUAUAUUAUUAACCUAUCACAAUUAGCAACUUGCAUUUCACAGAAAUGUGUUCUUUGUGCUAAAAACAAUCCCAGGCAGGGACCGGUACAACCUCCUGGAAUCCAACAUGUGGGAUACGUCCCCAUGGAAAGCCUAAUUGUGGACUUCACAGAGCUGGUCCCUUCUAAGGGAUUCAAGUACCUCCUUGUGUUUGUAGAUACCCUUACCGGAUGGGUUGAAGCUUUUCCCACCAGGACUGAAAAGGCACGAGAGGUAACUAAGAGACUCUCACUGAAUUGAUCCCGAGGUUUGGAUUACCUAGAUGCAUUGGAAGUGAUAAUGGGCCAGCGUUCAUUGAUCAAGUAGUACAAGAAGUAUGUCGAGUCCUACAAGUGAAAUGGAGACUGCAUGCAGCAUAUAGGCCCCAAAGUUCGGGGAAAACUGAAAGAAUGAAUCGGACUCUGAAAACCCAAUUGGCAAAAUUAACCCAGGAAACAGGAUUGGGAUGGGUAGAUGUGUUACCCAUAACACUGUUUCGUGUUCGGUGUGCACCCACAAAAAGACUUAAGUUGUCACCUUUUGAGCUCCUGUAUGGGAGGCCACCCUCCUUUGUUCAGGAUAUUCCAGCUGACCUCAAACAAAUAGGAGACCAUGUGACACAGGGACAAGUGCAAUCUCUCUCCCGUGUUUUUGUUUCUCUUAACAGGUGGGCCCUCGAGCGCACGCCGUGCAGCACUGCCGACCCGACACAACAGAUCCCGCCUGCCGAUAGCGUAUGGGAGAAAGACCGCAAACGUGAUCCACUUGCACCUAAGUGGCGUGGGCCUCACACCGUCUAGCACUCUACUCCAACAGCGGUGAAGGUAGCUGAGGUGACCCCUGGAUUCAUCACUCCCGCUUGAAGAAGUCCAAGGCAGUUGGACGUGCAAAGGUGACCCCUCUAAUCCUUUUAAACUGACUCUCUCCAAAAACCCCUGUAUCUAGCCCUACGGGGAACGGGCUAGGUCACGGGCAACAUUAGACGACCGGCCUGCUGCAGCCACAACCUGGAAGCUGGCUGACCUGCGCACGCCUGAAGCUUGAGGAGCAUCUGAACCAGCGAUUGUGAACAGGAAGAUUCUCUUAUACAAUUGAUUGACUGCCCCCCCCCCCGUGGAACAAUUAUCAGGGAUAUUACUCAUUGGGGAUCCUCGGGAUAUAUGUUUUGGUCUUGGUGGUUCCCAUUUCUGUCAUUGGGGAAUUAUAUUGGGCCUAAUAUUUUUUGUUAUCACAAUAAGGUAAUCUUUUGUGGAAGAAAUGCAUAUACUAGACAUCAACAUGAUUUUAUUAUUAAUCCUGAUCCCUUGGGAAGGGAAGGGUCCUUGAAUCUGACCAAAUUUGCUAAAUAUGGAUUCCGCCAUGACCACAAUAUGUGGGUAGGCUUAGCUGAGAUGGUAGCCAAUGUUACAAAUAGGACCAAUUGCCUUGUUUGCUCUCUUGGACCAGAUGAUUCAGAGGGAGGUAUGCCCUUAUUACCGAUACCAUUAAAUGCCAUUGGUAUGGUAAGCGAAAUGCCACACCAAACAGAAGUACAGAAUUCCCCGGAUGGAACUCAACUAAACCAAUACGAGUUAUACCUGUGCAAGGGGAAUUCUGUGUACAUAAAUUAUCAGCUGCAGCUGAUUCUAUCAUGAUAGGCUCUUCUCAUUGCCACUAUACUUGGGAUUAUAUUAAGAAUAGUCAAACCUGGGCAAACGGUACUACCUAUCGAACUCGGAAUACCUUGCCCUGUGCACCUCCUUUUAUUCAUGCAUGGAAACUGGUGUGGAACAUAACUGUGACAGAAAAAGGCAAUCUAACAUACUGCACUGUGAACUCUAUGCCCCUUUUGAUAUUUCGCCUUAUGCACUCCACGUAACAAAAACCUAAGACACGAUGGUUGUGGUGGAUAUGUGGAGAAUGGGCAUACAAGCAACUCCCUCCCAAAUGGAGUGGGACUUGUUUCCUGGGAUGGGUAUUACCACCAAUGUGGAUUAUGCCCACUAGUUCGGCAAAGCGUACACGAAGAAACGCUGAUAUUUCUCAUAUAGCAGGAGGAAGUACCCAAAGUUGGAGUGAUACUGAUGAUUGGCCACCAGAGCGCAUUAUAGCCUAUUAUGAGCCUGCCUCCUGGAAUCCUGAUGAGCUCAUACAAGGGGCACGGGAUCCUAUUUAUAAUCUAAACAGAAUAAUUCGAUUGCAAGCAGUAGUGGAACUUGUAACCAAUGCAACGGCCCAGAGUUUGAGACUUAUUGCACAACAGUUGGAUGAAAGUAGAGCCGCCAUUUUGCAGCUGAAAAUGGGAAUGGAUUAUGUACUUGCCAGGCAGGGAGGCCUAUGUGGAGUCUUAAACUUGACAGGGAAUGCCUGUUGCUUUAACAUUUCUGAUAAUGGUGAGGCAAUCCGUGUGUUGGCCACAAAGAUGGAGAGUAUAGCACAUGUCCCAGUACAAAUAUGGGAAGGAUGGGAUAUGGGAUGGCUCACCAAUUGGUUACCUAAUGUUGCGGGACUCAAAGGGAUACUAUUGUCUUGCUUGUUUUUCUUGACGGUAGUAGUAAUGGUUUUAUGUACGGUGCCAUGUAUCAUUUCAUGUUUUAGAAGUACAAUUAGCAAGAUGAUUUCAAAUGAAACUUUACCUCAUAUUAUGGCCCUAUACAGAGCUUUACCUCAGGAAUAUGACGAAGGUCAAGCUAUCAAGGACACUUGGGAUGAAGGUCCUUGAGCUUGAAAGGGGGGAAUGAGGCAUCUGAUCAAAAUCUGCUUUGAGCUUAAAAAAUUAUAUUUGUAAAUAUAUUUUUCUCUCAUGCAAGGGAGAAGAGCAGCUGAAUACUCCGGCAGCUGUUCAAGGGCCCCACUGCUAUAAAUAGCAGUAUUUCAGGGUUGUAAAAAGUAUUUCAAGGUUGUAAAAGGAAAUUAGAGCCAGAGAGCAAAAGGUCACACUGACCAGAAUACAAUCAAGCUGUAAAAACACAAUUAAGAACUGGUAAAUAGUGAAAUUUAUUGUUUAACAGAAGACUCUAGCCAUAAGGUUAAAGGUUAAAUGGAAGAGGUUGCUCUUAGAAACAGCUGCUGGUUAGGGAAAAGGCCUCUCUCCAAACUGUUUUGAAGCUUCAGAGAAUUUACUAAGUUCCUUCUAAUUUGAAAAGGCCUUUCCUUCUAAAAAUCUAUCUAUGUUAUGUAUGAAAUAUAUUGGCUUAAAUGUAAUUAUGCAAAGGAUUUAGAAAGUAAGAAAUGUUAGAUUCUUAUGUUAGAUUCCUAUUAUGGUGGGUGAGAAGGUGAACUCAAGAUCUCUUUAAGAUAAAAAA